UACGGAGGAGGCAAGCGUUAUCCGGAAUCAUUGGGCGUAAAGCGUCCGUAGGGUGCCACUCAAGUAUGCUGUCAAAGCUCCUGGCUCAACCGGGAAAAGGCAGUGGAAACUAGGUAGCUAGAGGGCGAUAGGGGCAGAGGGAAUUCCCGGUGUAGCCGUGAAAUGCGUAGAGAUGGGGAAGAACACCAGUGGCGAAAGCGCUCUGCUGGGUCGCACCUGACCCUGAGGGACGAAAGCUAGGGGAGCGAAAGGG
rnacentral:rRNA from 1 species